CUACGGGGCGCAGCAGUGAGGAAUAUUGCACAAUGGGGGGAACCCUGAUGCAGCAACGCCGCGUGGAGGAUGAGGCAUUUAGGUGUGUAAACUCCUUUUAUAUGUCAAGAAAAUGACGGUAGCAUAUGAAUAAGCACCGGCUAACUCCGUGCCAGCAGCCGCGGUAAUACGGAGGGUGCAAGCGUUACUCGGAAUCACUGGGCGUAAAGGACGCGUAGGCGGGUUGGAAAGUCAGGUGUGAAAUCCUACAGCUUAACUGUAGAACUGCACUUGAAACUUCUAAUCUAGAGUAUGGGAGGGGGAGAUGGAAUUAGUGGUGUAGGGGUAAAAUCCGUAGAUAUCACUAGGAAUACCUAAAGCGAAGGCGAUCUCCUGGAACAUUACUGACGCUAAGGCGUGAAAGCGUGGGGAGCAAACAGGAUUAGAUACCCGGGUAGUC
rnacentral:rRNA from 1 species